rnacentral:rRNA from 1 species
UGGCUCGAGGACGAACGCUGGCGGCGCGCUUAAUACAUGCAAGUCGAACGAGAAGCCAGAGCUUGCUCUGGUGGAAAGUGGCGAACGGGUGAGUAACACGUGAGAAACCUGCCCCAAAGAUUGGGAUAAGCCUUGGAAACGAGGUCUAAUACCAAAUACCUUCCUUUUAACACAUGUUAAAAAGAGAAAUGCUCCGGCGCUUUGGGAUGGUCUCGCGGUCUAUCAGCUUGUUGGUGAGGUAAACGGGCCCACCAAGGCAUCGACGGAUAGCUGGUCUGAGAGGAUGUCCAGCCACAUUGGAACUGAGACACGGUCCAAACUCCUACGGGAGGCAGCAGUAGGGAAUCUUGCACAAUGAGGGAAACCUUGAUGCAGCGACGCCGCGUGCGGGACAAAGGCCCUAGGGUUGUAAACCGCUUUCAGUAGGGACGAAAGUGACGGUACCUACAGAAGAAGCCCCGGCCAACUAUGUG